CGCGAAUCGCCCUUGGGGUGCACCAGGCGCGAAAACUUUACAAUGCGGGAAACCGUGAUAAGGGGACACCGAGUGCCAGCAUCAUAUGCUGGCUGUCCAGGUGUGUAAAAUACACCUGUCAGCAAGGGCCGGGCAAGACCGGUGCCAGCCGCCGCGGUAACACCGGCGGCCCGAGUGGUGAUCGUGAUUAUUGGGUCUAAAGGGUCCGUAGCCGGUUUGGUCAGUCCUCCGGGAAAUCUGACGGCUCAACCGUUAGGCUUUCGGGGGAUACUGCCAGGCUUGGAACCGGGAGAGGUAAGAGGUACUACAGGGGUAGGAGUGAAAUCUUGUAAUCCCUGUGAGACCACCUGUGGCGAAGGCGUCUUACCAGAACGGGUUCGACGGUGAGGGACGAAAGCUGGGGGCACGAACCGGAUUAGAUACCCGGGUAGUCCCAGCCGUAAACGAUGCUCGCUAGGUGUCAGGCAUGGCGCGACCGUGUCUGGUGCCGCAGGGAAGCCGUGAAGCGAGCCACCUGGGAAGUACGGCCGCAAGGCUGAAACUUAAAGGAAUUGGCGGGGGAGCAC
rnacentral:rRNA from 1 species